rnacentral:rRNA from 1 species
CAUGCAAGUCGAGCGGAAGGCCCUUCGGGGUACUCGAGCGGCGAACGGGUGAGUAACACGUGAGCAACCUGCCCCAAGCUUUGGGAUAACCCCGGGAAACCGGGGCUAAUACCGAAUAUUACCUGGCCUCGCAUGAGGCUGGGUGGAAAGUUUUUCGGCUUGGGAUGGGCUCGCGGCCUAUCAGCUUGUUGGUGGGGUGAUGGCCUACCAAGGCGACGACGGGUAGCCGGCCUGAGAGGGCGACCGGCCACACUGGGACUGAGACACGGCCCAGACUCCUACGGGAGGCAGCAGUGGGGAAUAUUGCACAAUGGGCGGAAGCCUGAUGCAGCGACGCCGCGUGAGGGAUGACGGCCUUCGGGUUGUAAACCUCUUUCAGCAGGGACGAAGCGAGAGUGACGGUACCUGCAGAAGAAGCGCCGGCCAACUACGUGCCAGCAGCCGCGGUAAGACGUAGGGCGCGAGCGUUGUCCGGAUUUAUUGGGCGUAAAGAGCUCGUAGGCGGCUUGUCGCGUCGACCGUGAAAACUUGGGGCUCAACCCCAAGCCUGCGGUCGAUACGGGCAGGCUAGAGUUCGGUAGGGGAGACUGGAAUUCCUGGUGUAGCGGUGAAAUGCGCAGAUAUCAGGAGGAACACCGGUGGCGAAGGCGGGUCUCUGGGCCGAUACUGACGCUGAGGAGCG